rnacentral:lncRNA from 1 species
AAAGAAGAAGAUCAUCAAUAUAUUGAAUAAGGUUUUUGGACUUUACGAUGGCGUUUCGGAAGCAUUAAGCUCUCAGCAGAAGCCACACUCUGAAUUCCGAUCUUUUCCUGGGCUGGUGAUGGAUGCGCAGCACAGUGCCCUCCUGCAGUACUGAGCGGUGGCAGGGAGCAGCAGUCCCAGCCAGCUGUGCCAUCGCGAGGGGAAGUGGCCGGCAUGGAUCGUUAAGUCAGGGAACAUCUGUCCCUUCUUCGUGAAUAUCUGUGUUCAAGUCUCUUGCUCAUUUGUUAAAUUGGGCUUUUCAUCUUAAUUUUGGUUUGCAGUUUUCUCCCCUAUAUCCGAGGUCUGAGUCCUUUGUCAGGACACACAGUGUGAUUUCUUGCCUGGCAUUCCGUUCCUUGCUUGUCCAUUUUCAAGAGCAGAACAUUUUCACGUUGAUGGAAGCCCGAUGUCUUUCUUCUACGGUAUGUGCUCUGCAUCCAAAGCAGCCUUCGCCCAUCCCACAUUUUAGAUAAUUUUUUCUUCUAAAAACUUCACUGUUUAAGCGCUCAUGUUUGGAUCUGCAAUCUAUUUUGGAUGAAUUCUUGUGUAUGACGUGCAGUAGGAAUAAAGGCUCAUGUCUUUCCAUACGGAUAGCCAGUUUUAUUCACAGACACAGGUGGUGGCCAGACCUGGCACACGGAUGCAGCUGACCCUGGAAGCUGAAGGGCAGUGAAACCCAUCUGAUUAAGAUGCUCAACUUUUCUGAAGAAAAAGCUGACACCAAGACCUGCCUAAGGUCACACCAUCAUGAGUGGCUGAGUUGGGCUGUGAUGAGCCACCCGGCUGGAGAGCUUGUGCCCUGGUUACACGAUUGCCAGUGAGAUGCCUAUGGACUCGCAUGUAGAGGUGGGUACCCAGACAGCUCAGAGUGAGCUGCCUGCGGGCCCAGCAUGCAGAGGUGUGUACUCAGUGCUGUGUGAGAUGCCUGUGGGCCCAGGCACGGAGGGAUGCAUGCGUGCCCAGAAAGCAAAAGGCUGUGCAGAGGACCUGCUAGGAGGUAAUGACUAGAGAACAUGUUUUUAAGCAAACAGGUGAAGGGAAAAUGCAAAAUAAGGAGCUACAUAAGCAUCACAUCUUAAGAAUCAUUAUGGAGCACCUAACUGUGACUUGUUGGGCUGGGAGCCAAACAACAUAGGUGGGACACGCUGCACAUAAAAGUAACAAGCUGGAGGUCCAGAGGAACCCUUGGAGCCGUCCCAAGACUGAGAGCCGGUGUCAGGCACCACCUCUUCUGGGCACCUGGGCUAUGGCAGUGGGGAGGAUGAGCCCCUGAUCCCAGAGGCCACUCUCUCACACAGUGCAGUGCAGUCUUUCUCACACAGGACCUAGUGUAACACGGGACCUAAUGGCAGGACACAUCAACCCAUUAAAAAUCCAAGCAAGGUACAAGAGAUUUCUAGAAACAAAGAAUCAGGCUUUAUUUUU